GACGAACGCUAGCGGCGUGCCUAAUACAUGCAAGUUGAGCGCUGAAGGUUGGUUCUUGUACCGACUGGAUGAGCAGCGAACGGGUGAGUAACGCGUGGGGAAUCUGCCUUUGAGCGGGGGACAACAUUUGGAAACGAAUGCUAAUACCGCAUAAAAACUUUAAACACAAGUUUUAAGUUUGAAAGAUGCAAUUGCAUCACUCAAAGAUGAUCCCGCGUUGUAUUAGCUAGUUGGUGAGGUAAAGGCUCACCAAGGCGAUGAUACAUAGCCGACCUGAGAGGGUGAUCGGCCACAUUGGGACUGAGACACGGCCCAAACGCCUACGGGAGGCAGCAGUAGGGAAUCUUCGGCAAUGGACGAAAGUCUGACCGAGCAACGCCGCGUGAGUGAAGAAGGUUUUCGGAUCGUAAAACUCUGUUGGUAGGGAAGAACGUUGGUGAGAGUGGAAAGCUCAUCAAGUGACGGUAACUACCCAGAAAGGGACGGCUAACUACGUG
rnacentral:rRNA from 1 species